UACGUAGGGAGCGAGCGUUAUCCGGAUUUAUUGGGCGUAAAGCGUGUGUAGGCGGUUUAUUAAGUUUAAGAUUAAAGCCCGGAGCUCAACUCCGGUUCGUCUUAAAAACUGGUAGACUAGAGUGCGGUAGAGGUAAAUGGAAUUUCUAGUGUAGCGGUGAAAUGCGUAGAUAUUAGAAGGAACACCAGUGGCGAAGGCGAUUUACUGGGCCGUAACUGACGCUGAGGCGCGAAAGCGUGGGGAGUAAACAGG
rnacentral:rRNA from 1 species